AGCAAACAAAAUGUGUUAGCUUUCAACAUUUGAUGUUUACAUACUUCUUUUUUCUAUCGGCCAAUUCUGACCAAAAAUACUUAUUAUUAAUCUUUGAUAUUAUGUCCUUUACUUGUGUAGGGUUGGAUUGCUACCAAGUGUGCUUGGAGCAUAUUUCUAAGCUGAAUUCUUACACUGGGGUUGAUUAAAUAAGGAAAGGUGUGGAGAUGGUCAAAGCCAUGAGCUAAAGAAGGUCAAAUUUGGAAAGUGUGUAUGAGGACCAAACUCAUUUCAAAGUAAGAUCUAUACACUGAGUAAUGCUAAUAUGGUUCUGUAUACGCACUGUAAAAAAAAAAAAAAGAAAAGCUGUGUUUAAAGAUCAACAGGGAUUUCAACAAAUGGGUCAAGAUUUCCUCUUGAUUUGGAUUUUUUAGUACGGCAUGCAGUUUCAAAUGAUAUUCUUUGCUGUAAAGUUGUUUGAACCUCUUUCCUGAAGCAUCUUAAGCCAGCACUUUGAAGGGAUACACCACAUUUGAAUUUAACAAUUGAAAUAUUUGCCCUUACCAGGUUGUUGUUCUUUAUCAAUUAAAUUGCCAUAGCUGGCUUGGUAGGAAAACAAUCAGUAACAUCUGGGAAAGUCCUCAAAAAUGUCCUUUAAGUUCCACAUAGAAAAUCUUUAACUUCACUAAAGUAAGUCCCAAGAAAGUUGUAGAAAGUACUAAUUUAGUUUCUAGAAUUUCCAAGGUAUAAAUUCCAGUCAAAUGUCCUGUAAGUUCAGAAAGUAGCCAGUAAAAUCCUAGAAGCUUCUAUUAAGUUUUUGUAUUUUAUGUACACUGAAUUAUGAAGCAGUAAGUUCCACAAAAUAACCUCCAGAUUUUUUGAAAGUAUAUUGUGCAUUCAGGAUUAUGACUCAUAAAUCAAGUCAGUGUUAGAUGUCCAUGAUCCCUCUUUCUGUUAGAGAUCAGUAGGUUAAAGGUUUUUAGAAAGUACUUUAAAUUCAGAGAAAUACACAAACAUUUCAGACAAUUUCUGGGAAUUUGUAAGUUCCAGGAAAGUAUCUUCUGACUUCCUGAAAGUAACCAUUAAGGUAAAUGGCUGGUAAGUUCACUGAAUGUUUUGGAAACCAACCUGUAAGUUCUGAAAAACUGCAGACUUUAUUCUGUUAAGUCAUUAACAUUUCCAGUCGUUCUGUAUAAAAUUUUCCCUAACAGUCAUUGGAAAAUUAAACAGAAGAGCUCUGUCUUUGUCAGUAUUCAAAACAGUGAUCUCAAGUGGUUUAAGCAAUUGUGCUUAUGUCAAUUUAUCAAAGUGAACACCUAAUAUUAAUAAAAUGAAUAACUGCAGGCACAAAAGAUCUCUUCUUAGAUAUAAUGUUUUUCUCUAUUACACCUGGUCCCAAAUGGCAUUGAAAGAAAGUGUAGCGUUUGAAAGGAUUAUUCAUUUCCAUUUUUUCAGUCCUAAAUGUUACACCUUAGCUUGAGGACACACAAGAAACAGUUCUUAGCCCUUUAAAAAAAUAAAGGGUUCAGACUAAUCUUUCACAUCUACAAUUUCUAUUUUAUCUUGCUCUUGUUUCUGCUCUAGAUUAUCUCCCAAAGUUUUUCACAGAGCAUAAGCAGAGGUGGAUCUCUGGGAAUCUAUUAGCAGGAAAGUGUGCGGCAUAAUUUCUGAGAAUGUAAGUCUCUAAAAGAUUAAUUAUAAAUAAAACUAAGAUCACUGCUGCAGCUAGAGUUGAAAAUUCCUCAGAGACUCUACUGGUUUGUGUGGCACUGACUCGAAAUAAUCAGUAGGCUACACGUGUGAACAGUGUGAUGAAGGGACAUGUCGCCAAGAGCAACGUGAAGGAGCAGACAGACGAUGAUGAGAUGUCGCUGCGCUUUCACCGGUGCUUCAGAAACAAACUCUGACAGCAUUUCCAGCCAUGAGGCAGCAGAUUUUUCUGUCAGCAUGAAGAGAACAGAUCAAAGGAACCCAACCAGGCCUGGUCAGCCAGGCUAAACUGUGGGACUCAAACCUAAUAAUAUCCCCAGAUGGACGUAAUAAUCGCAGAUCCAUUAUACCCAGUUCCCUCACCCAAAAAGUGUCUUACUUGAACAAUAUUGGGAGUGCUUUCCUUUAAGCAUGCAGAUUAUUUUAUGUGGUUAUACUGUUUCAUUUUAGUUCAUUUUAGUUCAAGAGAGAGAAUGCUUAAAGCAGAAAUUCAAGUUUUUGGUACGAGAAUUUGGAUAUUUUGAUCAAUUUUAACUUCUGCGUAAUUUGUGUACCGAUGCCACUUAACAUCUCACUUUAAGUGGCUUCAGAUGGGUCAAACAAUAAUCCUCUUUUAUUGAUUUGCAUUGUAGCUAAUACUACACCCUGUAUAUAAACAAGAACAGCAGAGAUUUGGUUUCAGUGUUAUUUUUUUAUUUCUGUACUACUUAAUAAGGCUCAAAAGGAAUACACUGUCUUCAGUUUGUUUCCCCCCCGUUUUGUUCUAAAAUGUUGUUUCUGCCCAUUUGCAGUUCAUACCCUUCAACCAUCCAUUUCUUCAUUAUGAUGUACCUAUUGACAAACACUUUAUUUCUCUUGAUGGUAAACUAUUAUUGAGAUAAAUAACUGAAAAUCCUCCAUUUUGAUGUAUGACUAGUUUUUCUAGCGUCUGUUUUGUUUUUAGAGUCAAUUCCAUCCAACUUCUAGUUGACUUCAUGCAUCACAACCCAUCAUCGAAUCCAAAUACAUCUGGUAAAUCCUAGCUGUUGGAGUCGGUUCGGCUACAUUUUCUCCCAGUACACUCUGAGUAGAGCACAGAAAAUUACCUUAAGAUACCAGUGGAUAAAAUGGGUACAAAAUGUCCCCAAAACAUCUGAUUGCAUGUGUGGUGGAAAUGUUGUAUGUUUCAGUAUUGCUGACCUUUCGAAUAACUGUAAGCAAAUUGUGAUUUCAUCAAGGGGAUAAUGUAUGCUGAGAGCUUGCAAAGAGGAAGUUGCUAAAGGAAUUGUUUUGUUUGAGUUGUCAGACCGGACAGAAUUGAUUUUAAAUCACAGCGUGUUUGCAGAGUGUCUUACUUUGACGUGUUUUGGGAAUUGCGUUAUUUGUGGGUGCAUUUAGAAAAGUGCUAUAAAAGACGGCUUGAAACUUGAACAGUUCAGAGCAGUGCUCUGAGUGUGUAGGGAUUUGAUGUACUGCUCUCCUUUGGUGCAGCAAGCAAUAAUAAAGCUCAGGACUCAGAAGAA